CUGACUAAUUUGACAAGUCCACGUGUCAAUGAGAUGAGAAUAGAGAACAAAGUACAGGAACGAGGUGCAGGUACAAGGGAAAGAAUGAAAGAGGCAUUUCAAUAAUUUUAAAAGUAUAAUUUGUUGUUAUAUCUAGGGACUUGUUUUGCAGCCAAAAGAAUCAAGACACAUUCGAGAUCACGUGAUGUAGCUGAAAGUGUCGGGUUGGCAAUACACAGAAAGACAUUUGAGAACCAGUUUUGUUUCUUCUGUCUUCUAGAAAUUCGGUCAACCAUGGUUCACAGAUUAACAUGAUCUCCAGGAAGCCAGCAUGUCCUUGCCCAGCUAGACUCCCAGAGACCUGCUGCGUGCCCACCAGCUUCUUGUCUCUAGGGAUAGAAGAUGGUGGGAGCUGGAGACAAGCAGGGCAGCUGGCAGAUUUUGCAAUAUGCAGAAGAUCCCCUGGCCCUCCCUCUGUGGCUGAAUUUAUGGGUAAAAAACAAACAGGAGCUUGGAAGCCAGGUAAGACUCGCCUUACUUCUUUCUCCAAGUAUUUUGGACUCAGCAUGGCUCUAGGUGUUACAGGAAGUAAUGACACCCAAGAUUGGGCCCCUGCCUUAAACGACCUCAGUUAAGGGGCUAAAUCCAUUCCACACCAAACAAUAUGAAAAUAUGGGAGGUGCUUCAGGUCUGGCAUGCUGCCAGCUAUGCACGCAGUAGGAGAUGUCCCUGGGUCUUGGUGUUUGGGAAUGGGCAUCAUACUGACCAGCAUCUAAAGGUUGUUCCACUGCUAUCAGUACAGCAUCGGAGAUGGUCCUCUGGCCCACUGCACCUGAGUUUUGUGUCCAGAAUGAACAGGGCAGCCUGAUUCCAGGGCCCCUAUGAGGACAGGAAGCACUUUAGGGUGUCAGGAAGACAGGGACCCAUCUGUUCUGUGCACAGCCACAACCCUGGUA
rnacentral:lncRNA from 1 species